rnacentral:lncRNA from 1 species
CCCUCUCGUCCCCAGCCCACUAAGCUCCACCCUGCCAUAGGGCCAGGGCUCCUGCUGCCCCUCUGCCUAGCAAGUUGCUUGGGACUCUUUACAACAAACACCCGCUCCUCCAAGCCGUCCUCCUGAAUCGCCCAAUCUGAAUGAGACCGUCGUCACUUUUUGUCUUAUCUCUGGUUUUUCAUUUACCUGCUCUUUGCCUGUUUGUUCUGAACUAGGGCAAGAGAAAGUAGGGGCCCCAUUGGCCUUGUUCGCCGCAGUGCCCCGGCACCUGGCACAAGCACAGUCCGUGUGUUCGGUAGAAGGAUGAGUGGGUGGACAGCGCUGCUACUUGGCUGUCUUUGCAGGAGCCCAGCUGAGCCCCAGGCACCUCUGGCUGGGUGGCUCAUCCGGGGUCCCCAAGUCCCUCGGGGCCAGCCCAUCUUCCCGUGUUUGGGGACUCUACACCCCGCUGGAACCAGGGCUACUAACCAGGGGCUGAGCCAUGGAAGCCCGCGCCCUGCAGCACUUCUGGGCCGAGCAUGGCCUGAACAUCCGGGGAGCAACCUUACAGCAACUAUGGCUGAAUGAGACAGUGACCCAAAACACGGAGUUGUAAGAACACCAUUUUAUUAUGACUGUGGCCUGUAAUCCCUGCACUUGGGAGGCUGAGGCAGGAAGAUCACAAGUUUGAGGCCAGCUGCUUGCCUGGAAGCCUACCUCCCUGGCUUUGCCUGUGACCCAGCACCCAGCCUGCCAUGUAACCCAGUUGCUGUGUGUUGAAUGAAUCUUUUACAGCUCUCUGUUUUCAGUGCUUGGCAUAAAACAGGGAUCAAUAAACAUUUGUUCAGUGAGUGAAUGAAUAGAUUGUGUUUUUCUCUGGAUCCCUGAUCCCCCUCAAAUGCCCAGCACAUAGAUGUUCAGGAUUUGUUGAACUGAAUGACAAAGUGAUCACUGUGAUGGGAAUGGCCUGGUGUCCCAGGAGGGAUGGGCUCUGGGGGACCCUGCUUCCGACUCCUGGUGCCCUGUGUGAGAUGUGGGGGCA